UAAGAGUUCCGCUCUGCCGGCAAAUUUCAACGGAAAAUAUAAUACUUUUUCCGGCGACUAGAGUUUCGCCGCAAAAUCUCUGUUUGACACUUUUUCCGGCGAGCAGGUUUUCGCCGCAAAAUCUCAGCAGACACAUUUGCCGGCGAUUAUUUUUCGCCGGUAAAAACAGGGGGCCCCUUUUUUUUUUUCGUUUCACCGCGAAUCAAACUUCACAUUUGAAGUGUUUUUCCCCCCCUUCUGCCUUUUUGCUUUCCUUCUGCCCUUAACCAAUCGUUCCAUGCCCUAGGCCGAGCCAUUCCAAAGACUCUGCCACACCGUCGGCCUCCUUUCUCCACGGUCCNNNNNNNNNNNNNNNNNNNNUCUCUCUCUCUCUCUCUCUCUCUCUCUCUCUCUCUCCUCUCUCCUCUCUCCUCUGCAUCAAUCUUUU
rnacentral:lncRNA from 1 species